rnacentral:rRNA from 1 species
CAGUAGCCGCGGUAAUGCGUAGGGGGCAAGCGUUGUCCGGAAUUAUUGGGCGUAAAGCGCGCGCAGGCGGUUUUUUAAGUCUGGUGUCUAAGUGCGGGGCUCAACCCCGUGACGCACUGGAAACUGGGAGACUUGAGUGCAGAAGAGGAGAGCGGAAUUCCACGUGUAGCGGUGAAAUGCGUAGAGACGUGGAGGAACACCAGUGGCGAAGGCGGCUCUCUGGACUGUAACUGACGCUGAGGCGCGAAAGCGUGGGGAGCAAACAGGAUUAGAUACCCCUGUAGUCCCUGUCUCUUAUACA